UACGUAGGGUGCAAGCGUUGUCCGGAAUUAUUGGGCGUAAAGAGCUCGUAGGCGGUCUGUCGCGUCGGAUGUGAAAACCCAGGGCUCAACCCUGGGCCUGCAUUCGAUACGGGCAGACUAGAGUUCGGUAGGGGAGACGUGGAAUUCCUGGUGUAGCGGUGAAAUGCGCAGAUAUCAGGAAGAACACCCGUGGCUAAGGCGGCUCUCUAGUACGGUACUGACGCUGAGACGCGAAAGCGUGGGGAGCGAACAGG
rnacentral:rRNA from 1 species